AAAGCUUCAAACACCUUAUACUCACACACACACCAGGGUUUUUUUUGUUGGAUAGUAUGAACAUAAAUCAAAUUCAGAAACAACAGUUAAGCAAUGUAAUAAAACGGCUAAAUCCCUUUGGUUCGUUUGUUCGCAACUCAAUCCUCGGUUUCAAAAGAUUAUUUUCAGAAUCCAACCAUUAACUUCCGAAUUUGUUGAGAAUCAAUUAACUAAGUGAUAAUCAAUUCAAAGUUUCAGAACCUAAACCUCUAACUAGGCGAAAUCAGUAUAAGCAUGAAACGAUUAACAAAUUCACACGAACUAAGCAUUCAUGCACUAGAGAGAGUAAAUCAACUAAGUGAAGAUNUAAGCGAAGAUAAACUCAUAAACCAGUUUCUAACAUAGAAGAAAUCAACAAUAAAGAAACCGAAAAUGCUUUAAUAACAAAACCUCAAGAGUUGUGAUACAUUACCAAAGGAAUUUAGUCUACAAGUUUAGCCUUCCAUUGAGUGGAAGAAAGAAACCGAAAAUGAAGAACAUGUGAAAUCCUAGCAGAGCAAAAGAGGAGAAAAGAAAAUUCUAAAAUGAGUGAACGUAGAGAGUGAGAGUGGAAUUCGGGUUCCUUCUUUUGCAAAGAGUAAAACCGAAAAUGGGCCCUACACAAUGGGCCUAAAACUAAAACCAAAUUUACAAAUUAAAAAUCCAAAAAUAAAAAUACAAUCUUCACUUCAACAUAUAUCAUCCACUUCCAUAAUGCCAAAAAUGCCAUUGGUGCCAAAUAUGAUCUGAAAAUAUUAAUAGAUUUAACCAGGCUAAAUAAUUCCAAAUUAACUCAUUUUAGGAAUAUUAGUCCAAUAAAGUCUAAAACACUAAACCAUGUGAAACAAAGUCCAUUAGGCACAAAGAAUCAUCAAUCAUGUUAAAUUAAGGUUAUGAAUAGUGUGUAAUAUAUUAUUCAUCAGUAUGUUAUGGUUUGUACUAGACUGGACUUGGCACAAACAGUCAGUCAAGUAUGCAAGUACAUGUCGAAACUAGGGAAGCAACAUUGGGAAACAGCAAAUGGUUUUUCAGAUAUUUGAAGGGGAUUACAGGUCUCGGUAUCAUGUUUGGCAGCCAACUGAGUAAGCCUUCAAUUAUUGGUUAUGUUGAUUCAUACUAUGUAGGAGACUUGGAUGAUAUAAGGUCCACAACGGGGUUUGUCUUCACCCUUGCAGGUGGACAAAUUAUGUGGAUUACAUUUAAUUUCUCGCUUUAAUCAUCUUAGUAGGAAUUCGGAUAGUGAAUUUGGCCAGCAAAAAUCCUUGGGCACAGUCAUGAUAACCCUUUAAAUAUUUGUUUAUUUAACUACGUAUUUAAAGAGUUCAACCAUCCAUACAUCAAACUUUUUGUCCACACGUUUAACUGUUUAAGUGUCACCGAUAAGUGAUAAUAGUAUUAGUUAUGCUAGUAUAUAUAAUAAAUCUAAUCUCUAUUCUUUAUGUGUAUUGAGUUAAGUUUUAAAGAGAAAAAAAUAAAAAUGAAUGGCUUUGGUAUAAUCUUAUUAGUGUUUGCAACUUUACAUAACUCUCAAAUUUUUCAUUCUCGUCCAAAACUUAAAUUGGAAAUAGAUCUAACAAAUAUUCAUUCUCCAUUUAAAAGAAGAAGAAAAUGAAACAAAUAGCUAGUAGCAAACAGUGAGGGAUAGGACUCUUCUUAUAUAUGAUCAGUUUUGUUGUCUCUUUUGUAAUCAUAAUAAAUUAAAGAUUUUAUUUAAGUUGUGAUAGUAAGUAGUUAGAAUUCAGUUAAAAAUAAUAAGAUGGUCGUUUUGUACCUCCCUCAGAAGUCACAUCUAUUCAAAAGUAUGUAUGAUGGAGUGUAUGACAGAAUGAAGAUGUUCUAUCCAAAAAUAAUAGUGUCUCUAUGUCCUAAACUAAUAGAAUUUUAUUGAAAAAUGUAAAAGUAAUAAUUCUUAGUUUUAUAAUUUUAAAGCAUGUAGAACUUACAUUUUUUCAGGUAUAAUGCAUAUAUGAACAAAACAUGUUUUGGUAUUAGAGCAUUCAUAAUGAUUAUUUUUAACAUAACCUUAACGGAAUAAAAAUAUUAUUAUUCUAUUUUCCAUCGUAACAUUCUUAUUUCUUGAGUUUUGUUCUUAAAUAAGAACAUUUCUUGGUAAAUAAGAAUAGCUUUUGUCACAAUUAUAUUUUUUAUUUAUAAGAAUAAUUUGUGGCAUCCAUUAUAUUUUUUAUUUAUAAGAAAAAUUCUUGAUAGCAACAAAAAAAAAAUUAUAUAAUUUAUUUAUAAUAAACUAUAGCAAUCAUUAUUUUAUUAAUAAAUAAAUAAGUAAUUAUUCUUAAUAUUUUGUUAUAUUUAUUGUAAAAUAUAAAAAUGUGGGGUAGGAUGUGACACCCAAAUAAGAAUAAGAAUAAUGUUUGACAUUAUGAGAAAAAAGUAGAUAUUAUUCUUAUUUUAUGGGGAAUUGUAAUAAAUUAUAAAAUAAUGUAUGAGCCCCAAAUAAAAAUGAAAAUUUUGUUUGUCGUUGGUAAUACUCUUAUAGAUCAUAUAUCUUGAAAUACAUAUCUAACUUAAAGCUACAUAUAAUAUUAUUCCUAAUUCUUAUUAGGUUGAAAUAUCAUGCAUUGUGUUACUCUUAAAGUAUAUAUUGAAAAGAAAUAAUUGUACAAAAAAUUAAUUUAGAAUCAAAUUAUAAAAAAUGAGAUAUGAGAUAUUUUUAAGUAGAUCAAAGUGUUAGCUUGUUGUUUAAUGUUUUGUUCGACUUAAAUUUUGAAGAAUAAUGAAUGAAAUGUAAAUACUUUAUAAUUAUUUCACAAAUACAUAUUUCAUGUCUUACCCGGAUUAUCCUCCUAAAAUUAACUCUAGAGUGAUGGUAGGAAUAGCACAAGUAAAAGACUCAAGGGUAGAAAGAGGUCCUAACUUGUUUGUUUGCAAUUGAAAGCACUUUUCUCUCUGUCUCUCUGUUUGUAGCAUGUUUGCAGGAGAUGUCAGGAAAGUGCACUCUGAAGUUAAAACUGUACACACUGUUGAUGUUCUACCCCAAAACACAUGCUCGAUCGUCCUCCUUUCUUGUGACACAUCUAACUGACUAUUUCAUUCAUUAACCCAAAAAAUUGACUGAGUUAUUUUUCUUUUCAGGCAUCUCUUGCCAUAUUUGUGAUUUGUGUAGUUGUUGUUCUACUUCAUAGAAGAGUUAAAAGAUCAUCUGGGAUGUUCUUUUUUAUACUGGGAUCAGACUAGUCUUAUGUUGUUACUAACUUCUAUAAUCUGUUCAACAUGAUGUAUUUUGAACUGGAUUUGUGGAGAACCUUGAACCUAAUAAAUUGUGGGGAAUAUACUUUUGUAUCUCUUGUGGGUUGGCUUUUUGUCCCCUUAUCCAAACUGGAUUAUAAAUGGUAAGAGUUCAACAUUAAGUUCUUCAAACAUUUUUGGAUUGGGAACUCACAUCCUUGUUAGUUAUGUUAAUUCGAACUAUGUAUGAGACUUGAAUGAUAGAAGGUUCACAACAGAGUUCGUCUUCAUCCUUGUAGGUCAAUUAUAUAGAAUCCAUCAAUUUAGUCUUUUAUUGCAAUGUUCACAGCUGAAAUAAAGUAUAGGGCCAAUUAAGGUCUUCAAAUAUUUUCGAAUUGUAUCUUGGCAUGCUUUUUAGGCUUUGGAUCAUCGAUAGUGUUAAACUCUUUUAAGACUUCCAAAAUAAAACAUCUUUAUAGUAUUAAACACUAGAUUAUAUUUAGAUCAUCAAUGAUCCUCAAAGAUAAUAAUACUAAAUAGAAUAUCUUGUUAUAAUAAUAUAAAUGAUAAGUUUACCUAAAUUCUAAGAGGAUAAAGGAGAUAUCAUUAGUAAGGAAGCAACUUAAAGAAUAAAGAAUCUCAAUGUUAGUAUAACUUUUAAAGGGGUAUAAAUAUAUAAGAGACUGAAUGAGCAUAUUUGACACACAAUAUCAAGUGAGAAAUAGAAAGAUUGGCACAUUCUCUCAAGCUUUAAGAGAAAAUUAUGUAGCCUUGAUUCCGAAAGAUCACUCAAGGGUACUAAAACCAACAUUUUAUUAUUAUUAAGCUAAACUAACAUUUUCUAUAGGUCUUAUUUUGAGCUUACCAUAAUAUUGGUUUCAACAGCUGGGAGGGUAAACUACAAACUCGGCCAUACAAACUCAAAAAGGAUGACUAGAAGGGAGAUCACCCACCCACCAAGACUAUCCUAUAAAGGUGAGGCGUACACUAUCAUUAGAUGGUUUAUAGUCCAAUUAGUCAUACAUGUCAUGUGGAAUUGAAUAAGAAUAUGUUGUUAUCCCAAAUCAUGUCACACAUUAAUAAAAAUAUUUUAUAUCAAUUAAAAAAUUAAACAUUCAUUACUUUUUUUGUUUUUUGUUUUGUUUUCAUUAUCAUUCACACGGCAUAUGAUUUGGGACAUGCCAUUUCAAUCACAUGUGAAAUUAAGAAAACUAUUGAACCUUUGGAUCCGCUCAUGUUACUAUUCCUUCAUGUGUGUGUAAGAGUUUUGUCUAUGUAUAUCACUCUAAUAAUAAUAAAGGGUGAGGUCUGAUUUGGUUGUAAUGUAACCAUGUGAAUUUUUUUGCUUGGAUAAAGGAAAGAUUCGGUAACUCUUUCAAAGCAGUAAAGGAAUUGUUGGACCAAACUAUGACCGAGUAGCUUUCAACCAUUAGUGAGUUCUAUUAUUGUUGGAGUUAUUCAAGUGUGAAGUAUAAAGUGUAGAUACCACACACUUAUGAGUAAGGAUCCUCUCUAUUAAUAGAGAGGCAAGUGCCACACAAUAACACACAAAAAGUCACAUGUAAUAACACUUUUAUCCUUUUAUUUACUAUGAAAUUAUAUUUUUGCCACUGAAAAUAUGAGUAAAAACAAUUAUUGUCACAGUUAUACGUAUGUUCCCCGGUCUUUCCCCCAUAAGUCCACCAUGUCCUAGUCAAACCAUUAGCUCUGAUAUCACUCGUUGGACCAUACUGCGGUCGGAUCCUCCAAUCACUAGGGAGUUCUAUUGUUAGCGGGGUAUGAGAAGAAUGGAGAGCUACAAGUGAGACACCACGUCUUGAACCAAAACUUUAAGGCAUUGUUGGAACUUCUACUUAUAAGUUAUUUCACUUCUCCCCCUUAUACGACAUUGUUGUAACUUGGUUUGUUGAAAGCCAUUAGUGAGAAGUUUUGGAUGUGAAAUCUAAAAUACUCUCAAGUCUUACAUAGAAGAUUUUGAAAAACAACUCUCAAGUCUCACAUUGGAGAGAUGAGGAAUUUGGAAAAAGUCUUAUGUUAUAAAUAGAAGAUUUCCCCCCUCAUUAUAACUUGCCCCAAGUUGAAUGCGCUUUCAUUCAAAGUUUUCUUUCUCCCUCAUAUUUUUCGCUGAUGCAUUUCCGACAAACUUCUCCCAUUUUUUUCUGCGGUACUAAGAAUUGGUACAUGCAGCCAAAUUAUGAUAAUUUCGAGAACUGACACUAGUAGUCAGUAUUGAGGCAAACAAAUUAGUAAAGAUAGCCAAAUUAUAGGCAUUUCGAGAACUGACACUGAUAGUCAGUAUAGUGAGAAAAGAAUUGGCACAAGUAGCCAUAUUGUGAGAAUUUCGAGAAUUGACACUAGUAUCCAUAUUGCGAGAAUUUCGAGAAUUGACCAUAAUAGUCAUAUUGUGGGGAUUUUGAGAAUUGGCAGUGAUAGUCAUAUUGUGGUAGGUGUAUUCGGGAUUUGUUGUUACAGUGCAGUAAGAAUUCAAUAAUAGAGAUCUUGGUUGUUUUAUCCUAGGGACGACGUCGUUGAUAGUCUGCUUGCAAAUUUUGGACAAUGCUACGAAACGUCUUAAAGAGAGCGACCUGGUCGUGACUUAGCCAGUAAGUAUUAUUUUGUGCCAUUUAUAAUUGUUGUAAGCUACGGUAACAACAAUUUUAAGGUGUUUCUACUGCAAUGACGUUCAUAGAUAAUAUUACUGGAUCGAACAGCUUUGACAUAAACAAACUGUUUCGGUUUGAUGGGACAAAUUUCAAACGGUGGUAACAUAAGAUGAAAUUUUUCCUCACUAUGAGAAAAGUUGCCCAUAUUUUGAAAAUCGAGUGUUGAUGGAAAAAGCUGAAAAAGAGAAAAAGGAUAAACUAGCUAUUAAAAUAGCUCUCUGGAAUUAAAAUAAUUACUUGUGUAAGAAUUUCAUUCUCAAUGGGUUGUUUGAUGAUUUUAGUGAUUACUAUAGUCCAUACAAGUCUGUCAAAAUAAUUUGGUAUGCACUUGAAAAGAAAUAUGGUAUUGAGGAAGCUGAGACUAAAAAGUAUGUUGUUAGUCGUUACCUCAAGUAUUAUAUAACGAAUGAUAAAUCAGUAGAGUCUCAAUCCAAUGAGAUACAUAGAAUUGCUCAUGAAAUCAUUUCUAAUGGUAUGCCCUAGAGAGUUAAACUUAGAGAGCGUAUGAAUGUGUAUUCAUUAGGUAUUCUGUAAACAACAAGGCAUACAAGUUUUAUGACCUUAACGCAAAAAUGAUCAUUGAGUCUAAUAUGUUGACUUCAAUGAAAAGAAAUUCCUUUUUAAAUUGAGGAAUAGUGGGGGCACAUCAACUAGUCACAUACAUGUGGUAAGAGAUAAUGAUAAAAACGAAAGGUUUGAAAUAGAACCUAGAAUUAGUAAGAGAUCAAUAACUACUAGAGAGUAUAGACCUGAUUAUAUUAUCUAUAUAUUGGAAGAGAAUCUAUCAACUUUUCAAGAAGUUUUGACUUAUUUGGAUGCUAAUUUGUGGCAAGAAGCCAUAAAUGAUGAGUGAACUAUCUAGAGUCUAAUAAGAAACAAACUAUUUUAGCUCAAUCAAUUAUGGAAGUUAAGAUGAUAGCACUAACAACAGCUAGUGAAAAAGCAAGUUGGCUAAAAAGCUUGCAUAUAGAAAUUCCCCUAUAGGAAAAUCCGAUCACAACUGUGUUGAUCUAUUGUGAUAGUACCACAGCUAUUGCAAAAAUUGAGAACCGCUUUUAUAGAUGUAAGAAACGACAAAUUCGUCGUAAGCACAACAUCAUUAGAGAGUUACUCUCUACAGGAGCUAUUAAAGUGGAUCAUGUACGCACUAAGAAUAACUUAGCAGAUCCUUUGACGAAAUGACUAGCUAGAGAGAAAGUCUAUAAUACUUCUAAGAGUAUGUGACUAUUGCCCUUAGAACGAGGAUCACUCAUGAUGGUAACCCGACCUAACUGAUUGGAGAUCCCAAGAAAUAGGUUCAAUGGGUAAUAACAAGUUGUGAAGUGAUAUGAGAAUGAACAUGCUAUAAAAUUAUAAGAAGCAUGAUUCCUACAGUAUAUGUAACGAUGAGUUAAACUCUUAAUGAGAUCUAUACUCCAAUUGGAGUGGAGUACCUAGGCUACAGGAGUACUCUUGAUAGACUCACCUAUGUGAAUGAGGAAGUGGAGGCCGCUUUCUAUGAAAUUAUGGGGCAUAAAUUUCUAGAGCGUUCACUAUACUAGGAUAGAGGUGCAUGACCUUUAAUGCAUGGACUUUACAGAAUACACCUUUAAAAAGGUUGUGUGUGUUUUGAUGUUGGAGAUAGAGUUCAAGACUAUGAGUCACUCUAGUAAAAUCUGGAUCUUAUUCACUACACAAAGGUUCAAGUCGUAUGACACCUUUGUUUAUGCACAAUCUUAUUGAGACCAAAAAAAUUCUCGAAAAUCGUUUUUUAAUUCCAAGUGGGGGAUUGUUGGAACUUGGUUUGUUGAAAGCCAUUAGUGAGAACUUUUGGGUGUGAAAUCUAAAAAACUCUAAAGUGCCAUAUAGAAGAGUUUUGGAAAAAAACAACUCUCAAGUCCCACAUUGGAGAGAUGAGGAACUUAGAAAAAUCUCAUAUUAUAAAUAGAAGUUUUCACCCAUCAUUAUAACUUGCCCAAGUUGAAUGUGCUUUCAUUCAACUUUUUCUUUCUCCCUCAUAUUUUUCGCCGAUGCAUUUCUGGCAAACUUCUCCAUCUUUCUUUCUGUGGUACUAAGAAUUGGCACAAGCAGCCAAAUUGUGGGCAUUUCGAGAACUAACACUGAUAGUCAUUUUGGGGGAAAGAAUUGACAUGAGUAACCAUAUUGUGAGAAUUUCGAGAAUUGGCACUAGUAGCCAUAUUGCGAGAAUUUCGAGAAUUGGCACUAGUAGCCAUAUAGCGAGAAUUUCGAGAAUUGACAGUGAUAGCUAUAUUGUGGUGGGUGUAUUCGCGAUUGGUUCUUACAGUGCAGUAAGAAUUCGAUGACAGAGAUCUAAGUUGUUUUAUCCUAGGGACGACGUGAUUGAUAGUUUGCUUGCACAUUUUGGGCAGUGCCACAAAAAGUCUUAACGAAAGCGACUUGGUCGUGACUAAACCGUAAGUAUUAUUGCGUGUCAUUUAUAAUUGUUGCAAGCUACGUUAACAACAGACAUGUUGGAUCAGACUGUGACCGGAGAGCCUCCAACCAUCAGGGAGUUUCAUUGUUACCGGGAUAUGAGAAGAGUGAAGAGCCACAAGUGAGACACCAUGUCUUGAACCAAAAUUUUAAGGCAUUAGUUUCAUGAGUCUUUUUCACUUAUAAACUUUUUCACUUAUAAAUUUUUUCAAUCCUUACCUAUUGAAUGAGGUAGUUAGAGGGUUAAUCUAAGUACCAUCAAGGUUAUAAGGAUGCAUUCGACCUCCCAUCACCAUAAAACAACCCAAAAUGUCCCCAAAAGAUACAUAACUUAACUUGAUCGUGGGAAGGUAGCACGAGUAUAUGAGAUGCGCCAAGGUACUUUGAAGUAUUGAUGGAGUAACAAUUGUGUAUCGAGCCCCUAUAGACCCAAUAAACACACAAGCAAACUUCGUCAAUGUCAAAACCCUCAUACCAAUUACCAAUUUCUCACAAACAUAAUCUAAACUCAUCAAUUAUAGAAAUGAGAAGCUUACAAAGGUGAUUGAGAAGGAAGUGGAAGUGGUUUAAGGUUGAAGAAUACAAGGAAACACAAGUCACCAACAACGUUAAGGGUUUGAUGUAUAAAACAAAGAAUUAGGACAGGGUCAAUGGAGAAUAUGGUUGAAUAAAAUUUAACUUGAGAAAGGGCAAAAAAACAUCUGAAAUUACAUUAAAAAACUAAUACAAUGGCAUAAUUAUUAACUACUCAAAUCCAAAGUGAUUGCCCUAUCAAACUAAAUUAGGCUAAGUGGUUCUACAAGUUGGCCUCUAAUCAUCACAAAUCUGUAGGAAUGGGACCCAUCUUGAAAAGGACUAUUAUAGUUGAAUUCUCCUUAGCUUGUGAUCCAUGGCUAAGUCCUAUAAAGCUUCUUUCACUCUUUUAGCUCUUGUUCUGGUCAAUAGUCACACCAUUCCUUCUAAAGAGUCUGUAAUAUUGCAGGAGGUUGUUGUGUUUCAAUCAAUAAUAUGUAUCUUUUUUGUUUUAUUCCAUAUAUUUGUAAAUUAUCAUUCACUUGUUAAUUGUUAUACAAAUAGAUGGUGGUAAUACAAAAUCAUUGACAUAUUUUAAAUUUUAAAUCAUAUAUAUUAAUGACUUACAUAGUAUAUUUGACCUUAUUUUCCAUGUCAACUUUUGUCCUUGCUAAUUAAGUAAUGAUAUAUCAUGAUUUUUUUUGUUUGUAGUUUCAACUAGGGUAUAAGUAGUUGUGAUUUAAUCAGGAGAACGAACGGAGCCAAUCAAUAAAAUAUGGUUUGGUUCACUUUCACGGUUUGAUUCAGUUAGUUUUCUAAGGAACCAUUUAUGUUCAGUUUGAUUCAUGGUUUUAGAAAUUUAAGAAUUAUUGGAACUGAAUCGCAUAUUAAAGAAAUAGAUACUACAGAAUAAUAUUGUAUUGUUAUUUGAAUUUUUUAACCAAUUUUAUGUGAAUUAUAGUGUUAUAUAUGUUACUUACUACAUUGUUAUUAUGUUAGUGUUAUAUAUGUUACAACUUACUAAAUUAUUAUAUAUAUAUAUAUACAUAUAUAUGAUAACAUAUUUUCUAACUUUCGUGAUACUGGAUUUGAAAGUAACAUAUACCAUAAAUUAUUAUAUAUCUUACUAAUUAUGAAGUGUAAUGUUAUAUAAUUUACUCAUUGAUAUAUAGAUAUAUAUAUAUUACUAAUCGUGAAGUGUAUUGUUAUAUAUAUUAGGAAUAUAUAUAUAUAUAUUUGUUACUAAUUGUGAAUUGUACUAUUGAAAACGUGGUUAUUCGUUUUUUCUUCCUAAAUUAUAUAAUAACAAACAAUUACUAGUUUCAAUUUUUUUAUUAGUAAUAAUAAUAAAAGUAGUAUUUUUCUUUUAUGGAUAAAAAUGUCUUUUGUAAUAUAUUUUGAAUUUCCAAUUGUUGCAAAAAAAUUUAAAAACAAAAUCAUGACAACUGUGAAACUAAGCCUAACCAAACCAUUCAUGAGCUGUUCGGUUCGAUUCUUGCAAUAAAAUUUGUGGUUAAUUGAUAUGAAUUGAACCAUAUCUUUGUAUUUGGUUCAGUCAUUGAAUUACACCAAAAAUCAAACUGAAACGAACUUUUACACCAUGGUUUCAUCGGCUUCCACUCAUAAAAGCAGGUGUACUGUUAUUUCUUUAUUUUUUGGUUUACAUAGCAUUUUUUAUUUGUUGUUCAUAUUAGAGUUCCAUUUAAGUACCACUAUAUUUUUAUCCGAAAAAGGCAAAACGAAAUACAACUAUUUAUUCCCUCUUUCAUUUGAAAUGAAUUUGAGGACAUUGCAAUUGACACUUUUGAAACAAUAUAACUUGAUAAUAUAAGGGAAGCUAGAUAAAAUGAACUUGAGUACAAGGCAUAGUAUGGUUUUAGUGCAUGCAACUUUGAUUUUAGUUCCCAAUUUUUUUAUAUAGCUUUUAAUCAAUAAUAUAGUUGAUGAUUGUUUUAGUGUUAAUCAUGUUAUCAAUUAGUAUUACACAUGUCAAAUGUUGAUAUCAACUACAUCAUUAUUGUUGAAUGUAGAGAUACAUACAUAGAAUAAAUACCACACACCUACAAAGUACAUGAACAUUGAUUAAUAAAAUGCAUGGAUUAAUCCAACACAAAAUUUGGUACAUUUCCAUGAUAAAAACAUAUUUAGUCCUUCAUUUGCAGAUAUUUUGUCAAGUCAUUGUCAAAUGAAAGUGUAAAUAGAAAAUACUAUGGAAUCACAGUAAGAAAAAGUUGUGACAUGUAAGGGUGGCAAUUUGAUGAAUUUGGAUCAUAAUAGAUGGAUUUAAAGUCAUUCACCAAUCCAUAUAAAUCGAUGAAAUUAUAUUUCUAAACUAUCUAAUUCGUCCAUAUAUCUAUUUUAAUGGAUUGGAUGAAAGGAUAUCCAAUCCAUUUUUUAAAAUUUGAACUAAAGUAUUUUAAGGAAAAAAAAUCAUUUUAAAAAUUAUUAUUUAAUAAAUUAUUUUUAAAAAUAAAUUUAAAAACACUUUUUAAAAAAUCUCAGUAUUUAAAUUUACCUGUGAAAGACACCAAUAUAGGGGAUGUCAGAGAUAUUGUAUUGUGCAUGCAUUUUUUCUUGUGCUCAGUCAUGACACAAAAAUAUUAUAUCAAUCCUUAUUGAAACUUUUUGAAAGAAUGGUUUGAUGAGAAUGAGAAUAUUGUUGAAGAAAUCAUUUCGUUAGAAAGAGAGUAAUUUAUAUCACUGAUAUCAAAACCGGUUUGUGGCAGUCGGUCCAACCGGUAAACAAUCUUAAUAUCGCUACGAUACAACAUUUAUACCGGUCAUGCAAUUAUACUGGUAAAAAUCUAUCAUACUAGCCGAUUUUCAAUUGAACUGAACCAGCCAUACCUAUUGGUUUCAUUUAAAUUUUUUUUAAUGAAAAUGAUUUAUUUUUACCAAAAUAUCGAUAUAGAUGAUCAAACACACAACUACUACAUUUAUACAUCUAAAAUAUGGUGCCCAGUAUACAUUUUUUAACAUGUGAUAUAAAUAAAAAUAGUUUUUGUUUUCUUUAUUGAUUUUUCAAUAUUAAUAUUAGUAUAAAAUAUAUGUAUAUUUAACUUCACCGGUAUGUAGUUCAGUUUAAUUAGUGAAUAACUGGUUGAGUUUAUAUUUUUGUUGCUUUAUGUGGGAAAAAAAAUUGUUUUUAUUUUUUUUAUGGAUUGGGUACCCAUCCAAAUGGAUAUAUACCCAUGAAUAUUCAUUGGAUAUGAUGGAUGGAUAAGAAUCCAUUCAUUAUUAACAUUUUUCAUUGAAUUAUAUCCAUUAGCUCUAACGAAUGAAUUUUGAUAAAUUUAAUUUGGGUAGAUUAUAAAUGUGGAUAAUUUUAUCACUUCUAGUAAGAAGGUAGAAAAAGGGUAUAAAUGCUGAAUGGUUGCUUACAUGUGCAAACUAGCUAUCAUAAGGAGACUUGAAGUUUGCUGUACUUUGUUAACUUCCAUCCUGUCUUCAAGGUUUCUAAUUAGUUAAAAAUAGGGGAUCAAAACUAUCAUGAUAUAUUUUACACAUUUUGUACAUUUUGUAUAUGUGAUUAAUAUCUUAGUUAGUUUGUUAAGAGUUUGUUAAGAGUUUGUUAAAUUGUUACUUGUAUCACAAGUUAUCUUUAUAUUGUGUAUAUAAGCACAUGACUUGUAACCCUUUAAUCAAUCAAUGAAAUUACAAUACAUUCAUAUCUUCACCAUUAUUUUUGCAAUAUAAAAUUCUGUACAAAGUCAUUACUCAAACUACUGAUGCUAGAUAUAAUGUUCAUCAUGCCCAAUAAAAAAUAAUAACACUGAGGUUACAAUUAACUUCUUAUGCUUUCUAGAAUUGUUGGGUAUCAUUCUUGUUGAUAUAUUAUAGGACAGUUCGUCCCUUUUUGUAUUACUGUUGUUAUUAUAAAUUAUAGUUAUAUGUGGCAAUUCGUCACUUUUAAUAUUGAUUUUAUGUCAUUUUUUGUGAUGAAUAUGCUAUAUGCUAUGCGAUAUAAUGAGGUUGGUAUGCAGUAGAUAUGUUAAAUUAGAAAAUUGUAUAACUAUAUUACAAAAUUUGACAUAUCAAUUUACUCCUGUUCAAAAUCUUUACUUAUAAAAAGAAUAUUAGAUCAUUUGUCUCUAACCUUGUCCUCAAUUAUGUCCUCCCAAUCUCAAGAAAUUGUGACACCUAUUAAAAAUUUUGAAUAAUGAGAAAUACAUAUAUUAAUUUUUAGAGAAUAAUGUAUCUCCUUAUAUCAGGAGAUAACUUAUCUCCUCCAGCCAGUAAAAAUAUGACAUGUGUGCUAUUUUGUUUAUUUUUUAAAAUAUUUUUAUAGAAAAUGAUGAAACAUGACACAUGUCAUGAUUUUACUGGCAGAAGGAGAUAACUUAUCUCCUUAUACCAGGAGAUACUUCAUUCCCUUAUUAUGUGUUAAAAUUAUAUUGAAAUGGGUCAAGAUAUGUUUGGACAUGUGAUCUUCCUUCACUAGUGAAUUUGAUGAGGUUGCACUUCACUUCUAAUACGUCUAAGUACAUUGUAGGAUAUUCCAUUAAAUUCCCCAACCCAAAAAAUCUCAAUCAUACCAUAGUAUCACUUUUUCUCUUUAAUAUUAUUCCAAUAUUCCCAAUUAAUUCUCUAUAAGUUAUUUGGAAUGUAAAACCUCAUUUUCUUGGCAAAAACUUACACCAUAAUCGACAAAGUACUAUGUAUAUGUACCAACCACAUUGCCUAGUAUCCACUUAUGAAAGAAGGUUAUCUAUAUAGGAUAAUAGUGCUAAGAUAUCUUAGCAUGAAGGGCUUUCUACUGAUCCACACAUUCACUUGGUUCCUAUUGAACGAGACAUCAAUGCAUUUAGCUGUCUAAAAUGUCAGUUUAUGUGCUUCUUCCUUUUCUUCCCACAUGAGUUUGGACCACAUCCUAAUUGGUUUUCAAAUAUUUUCAUUCUAUUAUACUCUUGCUUUAGAUUAGAACUCUAAAAAUAUCUUAGGCUUCUCCAAGAUUAUGAAAAUUAAUUGCCUUUUCACUGAACUUUUUUUGAUAAAUAAAUAUAUGAUUGAUUUGACAUUUAAUGAUUGUUGAUUCCACAAAAUGUUGAACUUUGAUAAGUUAUACUUAUACCCCAUGUUUAAAAUUGUAAUUUGCAACCAUAAUUACAAUUAUAAUAUUAUGGUUUUGGAGUCUCUAUGAUGGUAUUGGCCACUUAUGGUUACAUUUUCCCACAAUUUUCUAUAAUUAUGGCAAAUGCAAGUAACUACAAGGCAAUUUAAAACACUAAUUAUAUUUAAUAAAAUUGGAUUUAAAUUUAAUAUAUAAUUGAUUGGUAUCAUGAAUUUUAUACAUUAAAAUUAACGUGGAGUGUUUUCAGUAAUGAAGUAAUUUUAUUAAUUAGCACUUUAUCCGACCAAAAUAUAUGUCCUCUAUAAUCAGCCUUUCAGUUAGAGACCUAAAAUGCCAAUCAUUAAUUAGUGCCUUAUUUGCUGGACCAAAUGGUUUAUUUAUGGAAAAUGAUCUUUCAAUAUUUCUUAAUCAGCAUGAAGAAUGUGCUUCAAGUUGCUUUUGUAGCAAUCAUUUAGCAUUUGUCAUCAUUUAUUAAAGCAUCUUUAAGAAUUUUGCUACUUGCAGACUAAAUUGUGUACCCCAACUUUACAUUGAUUAUGCAACAAUGUUAUUACAAGUUUGAUCAUACUAGUAAAAUUGUACAACUUCUUUAUAAAGCAGAAGGGCAAAAAUAAGAAGAAUUUUUUUAUACGAGGCUUAUUUCUUUUCUUAAAAGAAAGUUAUACAAAAUUGACAUAACUAAUUGAAGUUCACUCCAUAAUAUACCCAUUAACAUUCUAAUAAUUGGUUAUUAUUCUUAAUUAUUACAAAUGAUUCAUAUGAUUUUUUUAGUUUUGUUAGUUUUUGGAACACAUCAAGGUCAAAUUAGACCUUAGUGAUAAAAAAUGUUAUUGUGACAUAAUUUUAGAUAUUUAUUCAUCGAUGAGGGAUCAUAUUUAUAAUGAGAUUAAGACUUAUCAUUUCUCAUCUCAUUUUAGAAUAUGACUUAUGAGUCUAAUCCACUUAAUAUUAAGUUUUUGUACUACUAAGGGUAUUCUUUUAUAUUUUUAGGUAAAGAACUAAUCUCUUUUGGGUUUCGUUGCUGGCUCUCAAUAAGUAUAAUUCCCAGGAAUCAAAUAUUAAAUCUUAAGAAUCUAAUGAAGCCUUAAACCACUAGAUCAACGCCUUUUUGAUUACUAAUACCAUUUUAGAUAUGACUUAUGAGUCCAAUGAGUAACUUUGUAUCACACCAUAAUUAAUCCAACAACUUGCAACAAAAGCUCCUCCUAUAUAUAACAUAGCUAUGCAACUAGCUAAUCCCACAUUCCCACCCAACAACACAAAAAAUCAUACAACAAAAAUGCUUCACAUUCUUCUCCUCCUCCUUCCUCUUCUCUUAUCCAUUUCCAAUGCUUCUGUCAAUGAUUUCUGUGUAGCAGACCUUAAUGGUCCAGAUGGUCCUUCAGGCUAUCCCUGCAAGCCUCCUACAAAAGUAACCACACAUGACUUCGUAUAUGCUGGCUUAGCUGCUUCAGGAAACACCACAAACAUUAUCAAUGCUGCUGUAACACCUGCAUUUGUUGCUCAAUUCCCAGGUCUAAAUGGCCUUGGUCUUUCUGCAGCAAGGUUAGACAUUGCUUCUGGUGGUGUAAUCCCUCUUCAUACUCACCCUGGUGCUUCUGAGUUAUUGAUAGUAACACAAGGUCGUGUCACUGCUGGGUUUAUAACAUCAGAUAAUUCAGUUUAUGUGAAGACACUUUCAAAGGGAGAACUUUUCAUUUUGCCACAAGGGUUGUUGCAUUUUCAAUUAGGUUAUGGUAAGAGAAAAGCUGUUGCUUAUGCUGUUUUCAGUAGCUCAAGUCCAGGGCUUCAAAUACUUGAUUUUGCAUUGUUUGCAAGCAACUUUUCUUCUUCUUUGAUUACACAGACUACUUUCCUUGACCCUGAACAAGUGAAGAAGCUUAAGAGUGUUCUUGGUGGUAGUGGCUAGACCUUUUUAGUUUGGUUGUUCAUGAAUCAUUGAUUCAUUGUUUUACUUAAAACAUUCCUUGUGUUGUUUCAGUUCAUUGGAAUUUGUGUAGGUUGCCCUAGUCAUUAAGUACCUUGUAUCAAUGUGUUUCAGUUAAUUUUCAUUGUUGCAAAUCUCAAUGUCAAGAUUAUUUCAAUGUAACUAUGUUUUGAAGGGUUUGUGAAUGUUUAUGGGUAAUUUUAUCCAAUAGCCUCCCAUGUUUUAAAUUGUAAUUAAGUUGUGUUUAUUACAAUUGUGGAAAAUUAUAAUUGAUAAGACUAUAAUUAUAAUCAUAACAUCAUUGUGAGACUCUCAAACUAACUAUAAUAUUAUAGUCAUAAUUUAAGUUAUAAAGUACAAUUUAAAAUAAUGACCCUCUAUGUCAACUGUGCAUGUCAAUUUUAAAUUGAUAUGAAGUUUUAUUUUAUUAAUAUUCCUUUGUAAAAGUUGGUAGUUGUCUUUUAUUGUAAUACUUUAGUUAUAAUUGUCCAUACGUCAUAAAGUUCGAUUCAGUUGCUACUAACUCAUCCUAAACAUUAACAUAGUUGUACAAAAUGCUAGCAGAUUAUUAUAUGGUACACAUACCUUGUGUCUUUAUAAGUACAUAAUUAGUUUCAGAGUUAAUUUUCAAAUGUCUUCAUAAAAACAGAUUUAGUUGUAUUAUAUUAUCUAGAAAACAAUUUACACUAUUAAUCAUUUAUAUAUUACCAUAUCAUUAAAAAUAUUUAACUUGUUAUCUUAAUUAAUUAUAUUUUAAGUCACACUUAUAGUAAUUUAUAAUUGGUUUGUAGUGUAAAAACUUUUAUUAAACUUAAAUGGAUAUAACAAUAAUUAUCAAACAAAAGGAGUGCUAGCAAUAAAUCCUCUAACACACUUGUUCUCUACUAGAACAUAAAGAUAUAGACAAUGGUUGAUCAGUUGUUGAGGAGGGAGAAGAGGAUAAUCGUCAAAGUAGCAGGAUGAGGUAGGAGAGCUGGAUUGAAGAAUGUGCUUCAAGUUGCUUUUGUAGCAAUCAUUUAGCAUUUGUCAUCAUUUAUUAAAGCAUCUUUAAGAAUUUUGCUACUUGCAGACUAAAUUGUGUACCCCAACUUUACAUUGAUUAUGCAACAAUGUUAUUACAAGUUUGAUCAUACUAGUAAAAUUGUACAACUUCUUUAUAAAGCAGAAGGGCAAAAAUAAGAAGAAUUUUUUUAUACGAGGCUUAUUUCUUUUCUUAAAAGAAAGUUAUACAAAAUUGACAUAACUAAUUGAAGUUCACUCCAUAAUAUACCCAUUAACAUUCUAAUAAUUGGUUAUUAUUCUUAAUUAUUACAAAUGAUUCAUAUGAUUUUUUUAGUUUUGUUAGUUUUUGGAACACAUCAAGGUCAAAUUAGACCUUAGUGAUAAAAAAUGUUAUUGUGACAUAAUUUUAGAUAUUUAUUCAUCGAUGAGGGAUCAUAUUUAUAAUGAGAUUAAGACUUAUCAUUUCUCAUCUCAUUUUAGAAUAUGACUUAUGAGUCUAAUCCACUUAAUAUUAAGUUUUUGUACUACUAAGGGUAUUCUUUUAUAUUUUUAGGUAAAGAACUAAUCUCUUUUGGGUUUCGUUGCUGGCUCUCAAUAAGUAUAAUUCCCAGGAAUCAAAUAUUAAAUCUUAAGAAUCUAAUGAAGCCUUAAACCACUAGAUCAACGCCUUUUUGAUUACUAAUACCAUUUUAGAUAUGACUUAUGAGUCCAAUGAGUAACUUUGUAUCACACCAUAAUUAAUCCAACAACUUGCAACAAAAGCUCCUCCUAUAUAUAACAUAGCUAUGCAACUAGCUAAUCCCACAUUCCCACCCAACAACACAAAAAAUCAUACAACAAAAAUGCUUCACAUUCUUCUCCUCCUCCUUCCUCUUCUCUUAUCCAUUUCCAAUGCUUCUGUCAAUGAUUUCUGUGUAGCAGACCUUAAUGGUCCAGAUGGUCCUUCAGGCUAUCCCUGCAAGCCUCCUACAAAAGUAACCACACAUGACUUCGUAUAUGCUGGCUUAGCUGCUUCAGGAAACACCACAAACAUUAUCAAUGCUGCUGUAACACCUGCAUUUGUUGCUCAAUUCCCAGGUCUAAAUGGCCUUGGUCUUUCUGCAGCAAGGUUAGACAUUGCUUCUGGUGGUGUAAUCCCUCUUCAUACUCACCCUGGUGCUUCUGAGUUAUUGAUAGUAACACAAGGUCGUGUCACUGCUGGGUUUAUAACAUCAGAUAAUUCAGUUUAUGUGAAGACACUUUCAAAGGGAGAACUUUUCAUUUUGCCACAAGGGUUGUUGCAUUUUCAAUUAGGUUAUGGUAAGAGAAAAGCUGUUGCUUAUGCUGUUUUCAGUAGCUCAAGUCCAGGGCUUCAAAUACUUGAUUUUGCAUUGUUUGCAAGCAACUUUUCUUCUUCUUUGAUUACACAGACUACUUUCCUUGACCCUGAACAAGUGAAGAAGCUUAAGAGUGUUCUUGGUGGUAGUGGCUAGACCUUUUUAGUUUGGUUGUUCAUGAAUCAUUGAUUCAUUGUUUUACUUAAAACAUUCCUUGUGUUGUUUCAGUUCAUU
rnacentral:lncRNA from 1 species